rnacentral:lncRNA from 1 species
UCUAAUCCAGGCAAAACAAAAUCACUCUCUUAGUCUCUCUAACCCUCGAUGAAGACUCCUCCAUCUCACCGGUUCAGAUUUAGGAAGACGUUGGCAUCACAAUGACACUAUCUCUCUCUCUCUCUAACCCUGAAUUCAAUCUUCGUACCUCGAACGAAGAAAUCUAGGAAAACGGGGAAGACGAAGGCAACCUUGGGGUUAAGAUCUUCAAAUCUGAUAUCCAUUGUAUAUUUUAUUUUAAUAUUAGUAUUUGUGUCUGCAAUCUAGAUCUCCACAAAUAUAAAAGAAACGUGGUGUAUUUGUGAGGUACAAUAUCGAUCUGCUUCAAAUUUGACAUGUGCAUUGUAGGCUGGAGAUUUAAUGUUAGCCGAGGUGUAUUUUGUGAACCUAGACCCAACGUCUUAAUCAUCCGUCAGUCCCCUGUUUUUGCAAUGAACAGAAUUUGAAUGAUUUCGUCAAUUUGUAAUUACGUUUUGUUUUCAAAUUUUGUAUGAUUAGGUGUGAUAUUCAUACGAGAAAAUGUGAGAUGAUGCUGAAUUUUUUGUUUCAAAUUUUGCUAUGAAUUUUUAACUUUUUUAUAUGCACAGAAGAUAUUUAGAUAAGAUGAUACUGAAAUGAUUGUCCACUAAGAUAGCGUAGGAUUUAAACGUUUGAGGGGUUAUGAAAAAUCUAGCCCUCUGUUGGUGUGGAUAUAUGCAGUGAUUUUUCAUAUAUGUACAAUUUGAAGGUUCUUAAGCAAUAAUAUUUUUGUGAAUGAUUUAGGAUUGAUCAUGGCCGAGAAGAAUAGAGGAAUUUGUCAUUCUUGCAGAGGAGCACAUGAUGCUCGAAUGCCUCAAAAAGAGAUGUUCAAACUAUGGAGAGGGG